GACAGAGGUGCCAAGCGUUAGGCGGAAUCACUGGGCUUAAAGCGUGUGUAGGCGGCUACGCAAGUCGGAUGUGAAAGCCCCGGGCUCAACCCGGGAAGUGCACCCGAAACUGCGUGGCUCGAGUACCGGAGAGGUUGGUGGAAUUCUCGGUGUAGAGGUGAAAUUCGUAGAUAUCGAGAGGAACACCGGUGGCGAAGGCGGCCAACUGGACGAGUACUGACGCUGAGACACGAAAGCGUGGGGAGCAAACAGG
rnacentral:rRNA from 1 species